rnacentral:pre_miRNA from 1 species
UCACCUGGGGAUCUCGCUGAAACGCAGAUUCUGAUUUGGUGGGUCACAGGAGCCUGAGAUUCUGCAUUUCUAACACGCUCCCAGGUGUU